AUUGAACGCUGGCGGAAUGCUUUACACAUGCAAGUCGAACGAUGAAGCCUAGCUUGCUAGGUCGAUUAGUGGCGAACGGGUGAGUAAUAUAUCGGAACGUAUCCAAUAAUGGGGGAUAACUAGUCGAAAGAUUGGCUAAUACCGCAUACGUCCUACGGGAGAAAGCUGGGGAUCGUAAGACCUGGCGUUAAUGGAGCGGCCGAUAUCUGAUUAGCUAAUUGGUGAGGUAAAGGCUCACCAAGGCGACGAUCAGUAGCUGGUCUGAGAGGACGACCAGCCACAAUGGAACUGAGACACGGUCCAGACUCCUACGGGAGGCAGCAGUGGGGAAUUUUGGACAAUGGGCGAAAGCCUGAUCCAGCCAUUCCGCGUGAGUGAAGAAGGCCUUCGGGUUGUAAAGCUCUUUCGCAAGGGAAGAACACUUACUUAAUAACACUAAGUGAGGUUGACGGUACCUUGAUAAGAAGCACCGGCUAACUACGUGCCAGCCGCCGCCGUAAUAC
rnacentral:rRNA from 1 species